rnacentral:rRNA from 1 species
UACGUAGGGGGCAAGCGUUAUCCGGAUUUACUGGGUGUAAGGGAGCGCAGGCGGUAGAUCAAGUAUGAUGUGAAAACCCAAGGCUUAACCAUGGGAAUGCAUCGGAAACUGGUUUACUUGAGUGUCGGAGAGGUAAGCGGAAUUCCUAGUGUAGCGGUGAAAUGCGUAGAUAUUAGGAGGAACACCAGUGGCGAAGGCGGAUUACUGGACGAUAUCUGACGCUGAGGCUCGAAAGCGUGGGGAGCAAACA